AUUGAACGCUGGCGGUAUGCUUUACACAUGCAAGUCGAACGGUAACAGGGUGCUUGCACCGCUGACGAGUGGCGAACGGGUGAGUAAUGCGUCGGAACGUGCCGAGUAGUGGGGGAUAACGCAGCGAAAGUUGUGCUACUCACGCAUACGUACUGAGGUAGAAAGUGGGGGACCUUCGGGCCUCACGCUAUUCGAGCGGCCGACGUCUGAUUAGCUAGUAGGUGAGGUAAAGGCUCACCUAGGCGACGAUCAGUAGCGGGUCUGAGAGGAUGAUCCGCCACACUGGGACUGAGACACGGCCCAGACUCCUACGGGAGGCAGCAGUGGGGAAUUUUGGACAAUGGGCGAAAGCCUGAUCCAGCCAUGCCGCGUGUCUGAAGAAGGCCUUCGGGUUGUAAAGGACUUUUGUCAGGGAGGAAAUCCCUAGCGUUAAUACCGCUGGGGGAUGACAGUACCUGAAGAAUAAGCACCGGCUAACUACGUGCCAGCCGCCGCAGUAAUAC
rnacentral:rRNA from 1 species